rnacentral:rRNA from 1 species
CCCUUAGAUGUUCUGGGCUGCACGCGCGCUACACUGGAAGUUACGGAUUGAGAUACUACCUUGUCCGAAAUGGUCCGGGUAAUCACCUAAAAGCUUGUCAUAAUUGGAAUGGAUUAUUGUAACUAGUAAUCCUGAACGAGGAAUUCCUAGUAAGUCCCAGUCAACAGCUGGUACUGAUUACGUCCCUGCCCUUUGUACACACCGCCCGUCGCUACUACUGAUUGGACGUUUAAGCAAGAUUUUUAAACACUGACAGUGUGUAGUUCACGCUAUACUACAGUGGGAAGAAGAAGAUCGAGCUUACUUGUCUAGAGGAAGUAAAAGUCGUAACA